AGACCCGAAACCCGGUGAUCUAGCCAUGGGCAGGUUGAAGGUUGGGUAACACUAACUGGAGGACCGAACCGACUAAUGUUGAAAAAUUAGCGGAUGACCUGUGGCUGGGGGUGAAAGGCCAAUCAAACCGGGAGAUAGCUGGUUCUCCCCGAAAGCUAUUUAGGUAGCGCCUCGUGAAUUCAUCUCCGGGGGUAGAGCACUGUUUCGGCUAGGGGGCCAUCCCGGCUUACCAACCCGAUGCAAACUGCGAAUACCGGAGAAUGUUAUCACGGGAGACACACGGCGGGUGCUAACGUCCGUCGUGAAGAGGGAAACAACCCAGACCGCCAGCUAAGGUCCCAAAGUCAUGGUUAAGUGGGAAACGAUGUGGGAAGGCCCAGACAGCCAGGAUGUUGGCUUAGAAGCAGCCAUCAUUUAAAGAAAGCGUAAUAGCUCACUGGUCGAGUCGGCCUGCGCGGAAGAUGUAACGGGGCUAAACCAUGCACCGAAGCUGCGGCAGCGAACGUAUCACUUAAAGCGAUUCAGCGGGUUACGAUUGACGGAGCGAAGCGACGUCAAAGCGUAUACAAAGUCGAGUCGGUUU
rnacentral:rRNA from 1 species